rnacentral:rRNA from 1 species
GAAAUUCGGAUUAAUACCCCAUAACACUGCGAAGUUGCAUGACUUUGCAGUUAAAGCUCCGGCNCUUAANGAUGGGCAUGCGUGACAUUAGUUAGUUGGUGAGGUAACGGCUCACCAAGGCGACGAUGUCUAGGGGGCCUGAGAGGGUGACCCCCCACACUGGUACUGAGACACGGACCANACUCCUACGGGAGGCAGCAGUGAGGAAUAUUGCGCAAUGGACGGAAGUCUGACGCANCCAUGCCGCGUGCAAUGAUGACGGCCCUACGGGUUGUAAACUGCUUUUUUACAGGAAGAAUCUCUCCGACGUGUCGGGGAUUGACGGUACUGUAUGAAUAAGCAUCGGCNAACUCCGUGCCAGCAGCCGCGGUAAUACGGAGGAUGCAAGCGUUAUCCGGAUUUAUUGGGUUUAAAGGGUGCGUAGGCGGAUUAAUAAGUCAGUGGUGAAAUACUGCAGCCUCAACUGUAGAACUGCCAUUGAUACUGUUAUUCUUGAGUGCNAUUGACG